ensembl:lncRNA
CCUAUAAGCAAUUAUCUCUGUCCAAAUGGAUAUAGCAGCUCCAAACCACAGCUACAUGACUAUCAAACAAUGAUUAUGAAAACCACAAUUGAGAAAAGCAUCAGAGAAUGAUAUUGCAAAACCACAGCAACAAAUGUGUCUGCGAUAUUGAAAACCACAAUUCACAACUAAUACCCUGUGUAUUGCAAAUUACUAUUUAACUAUAAAUGUGAAAAUGUAUAAGUAAGAGCACAAAAUAAUUUCUCAUUUACUUAAAAAUGAAUUAUUCAUUUUCUAGACUCGCUGAUUUCAUCUCUACAUAACGGUUCAUUUUGAAAAGUUUCUUUUUUCAAAGACAAAUCAUUUUAAAUCACAUAGGAGAAAUCACGGACAGAAAACACUCUCUUGGAACUGAACUGUGCAAUCUGGUGAGAGUGGAGGGGGGGAUGAUGUGGCAAACUCAAGCUGUUCCUCUCACCUUCUUCAGUUUGUCCAGUCUCAGAUUUUUUGUUCUAACAACGGGCUGGGACUUCUCUACCGGACUCCUGGACUUCCACAAAAGAUCUUUCAUCCACAAAUGAUUGUCUAGUCUGUGUUCUCCAGGUCUCCUGGUCUGUGAACAAGAAGUCCCGGAGCCAGCUCAUGGGCCAUUGCAGGAUCCACAGCCAGAACCAAAGUCUGUUUGCUUACUACCCUAUACAUAGGUGGUCAGGACUUUUCCUGGGCACCUUAAUAUGGUGGUGUUGGAUCCCAAAGCUUCCACAAAAGCACUUUUUCUAUAAUGGUUGCCAAAUAGUUGUUGAUGGAGGGAUUCCACAAAGGAUAACUUUCUCAACCUUCUUACUAACAGUACUCACCUCCUUCAAUUUGAAUACAGUGCUUCGUUGGCAUCUAUUUCCAGUGUUCUGAGGAGUCUGACGCUAUUCUGAUUCCUUAUGCACUGAAUGCAGCCUGCUUUCUUUUCCCAGUCAUUCCCGAGAUGCUUUCAAGAUCUCUUUACCCUGUCUUCUGAAAUUUAAUAACGUGAAAAUAUGCUUCCCCAUCUUUCCAUGUACUGAGCUGGG